UGGGUUUUCCAAGUUCCAUAUUUGGUAUUAAGUAGGAUUAUAGUCCUUUCCAAGCCCCAUGUACUACAUAGAAGCAACAACACAGUCAUUGAAACUGAAGGAGCACAGAAGACUACAAUGAUGGACAUUUUAGUAGCAGCCGAUAUGAAAGGCAAUGCAAGCAGCAGAUGACUCCAGCUCUGAACUCCCUCCCAAGCAUUUGGAUUGGGUUAAACUCUGGGACUGUGGUGAUGCUAGGAAAACUUAGUCAUGGAUAUCAAAUAAAGAUCCCAUCCAUGAUACCACAUUGCAUUGAGUUUUCAGAUUUCCUUAGGCUCCUCUUAGUGACAAAUUCUCAUCUCAGCACAAAUGAAAUCAAGAUUUGGUUUGGCAAAGGAAAUAGACAUUAGGCCAUGAGAGUAGAUGGUCUGUUUGAAGAACAAGCAACUAUUUCACGUGUCCGGAAGUGAAGUAGCAGAGUUGG